rnacentral:rRNA from 1 species
UUAAGUGAAUAAGGGCGCACGGUGGAUGCCUUGGCACUAGGAGCCGAUGAAGGACGGGACUAACACCGAUAUGCUUUGGGGAGCUGUAAGUAAGCUAUGAUCCAGAGAUUUCCGAAUGGGGGAACCCAAUAUCUUUUAUAGGAUAUUACUUUUCAGUGAAUACAUAGCUGAUUAGAGGUAGACGCAGAGAACUGAAACAUCUUAGUACCUGCAGGAAGAGAAAGAAAAUUCGAUUCCCUGAGUAGCGGCGAGCGAAACGGGAAGAGCCCAAACCAACAAGCUUGCUUGUUGGGGUUGUAGGACUCCAACAUGGUAGUCUGUUAGUAUAGUUGAAGGAUUUGGAAAAUUCCGCUAAAGAGGGUGAAAGCCCCGUAGACGAAAUGCUGACAACACCUAGGAGGAUCCUGAGUACGGCGGAACACGAGAAAUUCCGUCGGAAUCCGCGGGGACCAUCCCGCAAGGCUAAAUACUCCCUAGUGACCGAUAGUGAACCAGUACCGUGAGGGAAAGGUGAAAAGCACCCCGGAAGGGGAGUGAAAUAGAUCCUGAAACCGUGUGCCUACAACAAGUCAAAGCUCGUUAAUGAGUGAUGGCGUGCCUUUUGUAGAAUGAACCGGCGAGUUACGAUUGCAUGCGAGGUUAAGUCGAAGAGACGGAGCCGCAGCGAAAGCGAGUCUGAAUAGGGCGAAUGAGUAUGUAGUCGUAGACCCGAAACCAUGUGAUCUACCCAUGUCCAGGUUGAAGGUGCGGUAAAACGCACUGGAGGACCGAACCCACGUACGUUGAAAAGUGCGGGGAUGAGGUGUGGGUAGCGGAGAAAUUCCAAACGAACUUGGAGAUAGCUGGUUCUCUCCGAAAUAGCUUUAGGGCUAGCCUCGGAAUUGAGAAUGAUGGAGGUAGAGCACUGUUUGGACUAGGGGCCCAUCUCGGGUUACCGAAUUCAGAUAAACUCCGAAUGCCAUUCAUUUAUAUCCGGGAGUCAGACUGCGAGUGAUAAGAUCCGUAGUCGAAAGGGAAACAGCCCAGACCACCAGCUAAGGUCCCAAAAUAUAUGUUAAGUGGAAAAGGAUGUGGGGUUGCACAGACAACUAGGAUGUUGGCUUAGAAGCAGCCACCAUUUAAAGAGUGCGUAAUAGCUCACUAGUCGAGUGACCCUGCGCCGAAAAUGUACCGGGGCUAAACAUAUUACCGAAGCUGUGGACUACACCAUUAGGUGUAGUGGUAGGAGAGCGUUCUAAGGGCGUUGAAGGUCGAUCGUGAGGACGGCUGGAGCGCUUAGAAGUGAGAAUGCCGGUAUGAGUAGCGAAAGACAGGUGAGAAUCCUGUCCACCGUAUGACUAAGGUUUCCUGGGGAAGGCUCGUCCGCCCAGGGUUAGUCGGGACCUAAGCCGAGGCCGAUAGGCGUAGGCGAUGGACAACAGGUUGAUAUUCCUGUACCAGUUGUUUUUGUUUGAGCAAUGGAGGGACGCAGUAGGCUAAGGAAUGCAUGCGAUUGGAAGUGCAUGUCCAAGCAAUGAGUCUUGAGUAGAGUUAAAUGCUUUACUCUCUAAGGACAAGUUGUGACGGGGAGCGAAAUAAUAGUAGCGAAGUUCCUGAUGUCACACUGCCAAGAAAAGCUUCUAGUGAGAAAACAACUGCCCGUACCGUAAACCGACACAGGUAGUCGAGGAGAGUAUCCUAAGGUGAGCGAGCGAACUCUCGUUAAGGAACUCGGCAAAAUGACCCCGUAACUUCGGGAGAAGGGGUGCUGACUUCGGUCAGCCGCAGUGAAUAGGCCCAAGCGACUGUUUAUCAAAAACACAGGUCUCUGCAAAAUCGUAAGAUGAAGUAUAGGGGCUGACGCCUGCCCGGUGCUGGAAGGUUAAGAGGAUGGGUUAGCUUCGGCGAAGCUCAGAAUUGAAGCCCCAGUAAACGGCGGCCGUAACUAUAACGGUCCUAAGGUAGCGAAAUUCCUUGUCGGGUAAGUUCCGACCCGCACGAAAGGCGUAACGAUUUGGGCACUGUCUCAACGAGAGACUCGGUGAAAUUUUAGUACCUGUGAAGAUGCAGGUUACCCGCGACAGGACGGAAAGACCCCAUGGAGCUUUACUGUAGUUUGAUAUUGAGUGUUUGUACCACAUGUACAGGAUAGGUAGGAGCCGAUGAGACCGGAACGCUAGUUUCGGAGGAGGCGCUGGUGGGAUACUACCCUUGUGUUAUGAACCCUCUAACCCGCACCACUAAUCGUGGUGGGAGACAGUGUCAGAUGGGCAGUUUGACUGGGGCGGUCGCCUCCUAAAAGGUAACGGAGGCGCCCAAAGGUUCCCUCAGAAUGGUUGGAAAUCAUUCGAAGAGUGUAAAGGCAGAAGGGAGCUUGACUGCGAGACCUACAAGUCGAGCAGGGACGAAAGUCGGGCUUAGUGAUCCGGUGGUUCCGCAUGGAAGGGCCAUCGCUCAACGGAUAAAAGCUACCCUGGGGAUAACAGGCUUAUCUCCCCCAAGAGUCCACAUCGACGGGGAGGUUUGGCACCUCGAUGUCGGCUCGUCGCAUCCUGGGGCUGUAGUCGGUCCCAAGGGUUGGGCUGUUCGCCCAUUAAAGCGGCACGCGAGCUGGGUUCAGAACGUCGUGAGACAGUUCGGUCCCUAUCCGUCGCGGGCGUUGGAAAUUUGAGAGGAGCUGUCCUUAGUACGAGAGGACCGGGAUGGACUUACCGCUGGUGUACCAGUUGUUCUGCCAAGGGCAUUGCUGGGUAGCUAUGUAGGGAAGGGAUAAACGCUGAAAGCAUCUAAGUGUGAAGCCCACCUCAAGAUGAGAUUUCCCAUUUCUUUAAGAAAGUA